rnacentral:misc_RNA from 1 species
AUACAUUUAUACAUAUAUUAUACAUAAUAUUCAUUUUUAAUUAUAAUUACGUAUAAUAAUUAGAAUUAAAAUAAUCUUGCAAGAGAAUAAACACCUUUACGUUACGAACUGUAAUAUAAAUCAAUAAAAUAACUUUGACCAAUUUUCUGAGUCUAAUAAUCCAGCGAUAUAGUAUAUCACGAAGGAUUUAUCAAUCGAGUUUUAAUCGAAAUUAUUUGCCAGCGAGUAAUACUAUUACAGCGGAAGGAAUCGACGAUAUGACGAUCAAACGAAUCCGACGGGAAAGAGAAAAGAAAAGGGCAGAUUGUUCGUACCGACACGUGAAACUUGGCUUCACCUCGAGAAACGAGACAUUCCGACUAGAAUGUGACUUGAUCGCUGGAAAUUCUUCCUGAGGAUCUUAAGACAACGCGCGGCAUUCUCAAAUGGGAGAAAAUCUGCAGAGAGAAGAAAAAUCUGGAAAUUUACAUACAAUGGUUACGGAAAGUAUUUGUACAUCGUUGUCUUCAUUAUAGCAUUUAUUAAUUAAUUGAGUGUAAUUAUAGGUAUCUUUGCAUCAUGCAGUAGUACUUUUAGCGAUUCGAAAUUUUCAAUUUAUUUUUCUUCAGUUCAUGACUCGGCUUUUUCUGUUCCUAUAUCGCAUUUAAAAAUUACGCAUAUAAUUUACAUUGCGCGAAAAAUAUAGUAAUUUCUUAUCCUAUCUUCGAUUUAAAAGAAUGGCAUAUAAAAGAAAGCGAACAAAGAAAAAUAUCAUACGUUAUCAACAUGAAAUUUUGAAAAAUAUUCAUUAACUUUCUCAGUAUUCCACUGAAUAAAUGAAACAUUUGUUCUCUCCGUUAUUUGUUUCUUAUCGAGGAAUACUAACUUCUCUUAUUUAUUUACCUGAAAGCUCUUUAGUUUUCACGAUACAAAAUUAAACGGAGCGUACAUAUUUUCUGAUAUUUCCCGCUCGAAUUUUAUCUUUACACGUUUUAUUCUAUUGUCUAUAAUUAAAGC